rnacentral:misc_RNA from 1 species
GAUGAAGAACGUAGCGAAAUGCGAUACUUGGUGUGAAUUGCAGAAUCCCGUGAACCAUCGAGUCUUUGAACGCAAGUUGCGCCCGAAGCCAUUAGGCCGAGGGCACGCCUGCCUGGGCGUCACACGUCGUUGCCCCCCCAUCUACUCCUUCGGGAUUGCGAGGGGCGGAUGAUGGCCUCCCGUGCGCCUCGUCGCGCGGUUGGCAUAAAUGCCAAGUCCUCGGCGACGCACGCCACGACAAUCGGUGGUUGCGAAACCUCGGUUGCCCGUCGUGUGCGGUCGUCGCGCAUCGAGGGCUCGAAAAAAUUGCAGGGCUCCGGCUCGGCUUUCAACGCGACCCCAGGUCAGGCGGGGUUACCCGCUGAAUUUAAGCAUAUCAAUAAGCGGAGGA